ACCGCCUACCGAAACCUAUCAAACUGCGAAUGCCGGAUAAAUGAUGUGCGGGAGUCAGGCCGCGAGAGAUAAGUUCCGCGGUCAAAAGGGGAACACCCCAGAUCGUCUGCUAAGGUCCCCAAGUACGCGUUAAGUGGGAAAGGAUGUUGGAUUGCACAGACAACCAGGAUGUUGGCUUAGAAGCAGCCACACAUUCAAAGAGUGCGUAAUAGCUCACUGGUCGAGUGAUCCAGCGCCGAAAAUGUAACGGGGCUAAAACGCGACACCGAAGCAGCGGGAUGCGUAAGCAUCGGUAGAGGAGCAUUGUGUGAGGGUUGAAGCCAGAGCGGGAGCACUGGUGGACUUCACAGAAGAGAGAAUGCCGGUAUGAGUAGCGAGACCCAUGCGAGAAACAUGGGCGUCGAAGGCCCAAGGUUUCCUGGGGAAGGUUCAUCCACCCAGGGUAAGUCGGGACCUAAGCCGAGGACUGAGGUCGUAGGCGAUGGACAGCAGGUAGAGAUUCCUGCACCACUUACACUUGUUAGACGAAGCAGUGACACAGAAGGAUAGGACGAGCGCGGUGAUGGUCAACCGCGUAGGCGGCACGAGGCUGGGGAGCAGUUAAGUACACUUCCCAAGAAGGCUGAGUGCUGACAGGACCGAAAAAGAGUAGGGAAGCGUCUGAGUUCACGCUGGCGAGAAAAGCUGCUAAGGAGAGUGUGAGUGCCCGUACCGGAAACCGACGCAGGUGGGCGAGGAGAGAAUCCUGAGACGGACGGGAGAACUCUUGUUAAGGAACUCGGCAAAAUGACCCCGUAACUUCGGGAGAAGGGGUGCCUCGAAAGAGGCCGCAGAGAAUAGUCACAAGCGACUGUUUAGCAAAAACACAGGUAUCUGCGAAAGCGAGAGCUGACGUAUAGGUGCUGACGCCUGCCCGGUGCUGGAAGGUUAAGGGGAAGUGUUAGGGGAAACCCGAAGCAGAGAACCGAAGCCCCAGUAAACGGCGGCCGUAACUAUAACGGUCCUAAGGUAGCGAAAUUCCUUGUCGGGUAAGUUCCGACCCGCACGAAUGGCGUAACGACUUGUGAGCUGUCUCAACAGGAGGCCCGGUGAAAUUGAAGUAUGUGUGAAGAUGCACAUUACCCGCGACUGGACGGAAAGACCCCGUAGAGCUUUACUGUAACCUGACAUUGGAUCUUGAUAACGGAUGCACAGGAUAGGUGGGACGCUGGGAGGGAUGGACUUU
rnacentral:rRNA from 1 species